rnacentral:siRNA from 1 species
CUGGAAAGCUCUCCAAAGUCCU